rnacentral:piRNA from 2 species
UAGUGGUUUCCUAUCAAGGUUCCAGAA